CGUUGGAAGCAUUCCUCAAACAACCUUAAGCAUGGAAACAAGAGUAAAAAUGAUUAGAUACAAGUAAUCUGUUUUCUUUUUUCUUUUUUUUCUUUUUUAACUAAUUUUUCUCAUAACAAUUAACAACUGCCAAAUGAAGAAGUUUUAAAUUUUUAGCAAGGUUCUUCACAUUAGAUUUAAUAAUGAAAAGGGAAACCACAGAUCUUGUUCAUAUGUGAUUUCUGAUCUUUGAUUUGUUAGGGUUUUCAAUGUAUAAUAAUAUAUCUUGAUUUUAAUGUUUUAAUACCCUGAACCAAUUAUAAUGUGGAGGAGAUUAUGGACCAGUGGAAUUUUGAAGCAGAGCUUGUCAGCGGUGGUGGGGAGGGACACUCCUCUGCCGUCGCUAUGGUUGGGAUUGGGAUGGAGGCCAAUUAAGCAACCUCCUGGAAGCAGAGGAGGGGCGUCGGCAGCAGUUUUAUUGAGCAAGAAAGUGUUGAUGCCAACAACAUCAUCGUUGUCGCAGUUUUUCUCUACUCAUGCUGGUGAUCGUUGCAAUAAGCAGGAAGGAGGAGAAGGACGAGAAGCAGGAGGAGGACGAAUAGGAGGUGGUGGUGGUACUGAGAAUAUAACGUACGCGGAGGUGAAGAGGUUGAUGAGGCUGGUGAAUCUGGAGGCAUUGAAGAUAAAGUUAGAGAUGGAAGGGAAGGAGGUCAUCCCUUAUUCUGAGCUUCUGCAAGCUUGCCAGAGCAUGGGUGUUGCCAGAUCUCAAAAUGAAGCCAUUGCUUUUGCUCGAGUCCUUGAUGAUGCCGGUGUUGUUCUUCUCUUCAGGGACAAGGUCUAUCUCCAUCCCGACAAGGUGGUAGAGCUGGUUAAAAGGGCAAUACCUGUUGCCCUGACUAAUGAAGAUGAUCCUGUGAGGACUGAGCUAAAAAUGCUGCAGGAGAGGAAAGAAGAAAUUGAUAUGCUGGCACAUAAGCAAGUUCAGCGCAUCCUUUGGUGUGGGCUUGGGCUAGCUUUGUUGCAGAUUGCGCUAUUCUUUCGUCUAACAUUCUGGGAAUUUUCAUGGGAUGUGAUGGAACCUAUUGCAUUUUUUGCCACGACCACUGGUAUAAUUGUAGGCUAUGCCUACUUCUUGUUCACUUCAAGAGAUCCAACAUACCAAGACUUCAUGAAGAGGCUAUUUCUCUCCAGGCAGAGGAAAUUGUUCAAGAAGCAGAAGUUUGAUGUUGAGAGAUUCAAGGAAUUGCAAAAGAAAUGCAAGACACCUAUGGAUGCCACUACCUGUCUUAAAAAUCGUGUAGGGUGGGAAGUGGAAUUGGAGGAUGCUAUUUAUAAGGACUGAUUUUUAUUCUUUGCCGUCAUCUUCCUCGAUAUUGUUGGACUUUUCACAUAUUUCAUGAGAAUUUAACACGGUGACCAUAUCAAUCUUGCCUGUUUUAUGCAGGCUGAGCAAACAUUUAACUUAUUGCUGGCUUGUAGAAUCCACUUUUCAAUCUUUUGAUAUGUGGAUUCUUCCAUGCCAAUGGAUUAGAAAUUUUUUGAUACUUGCAUUCCAUCCCAACAAAUUAUGACAUAUACUUGUACAAUGGACCCGGAUAUAUUGUGCUGUACUUUUUGUUGUUUCAAUUCCCUUAUAAUUUUAAUUAUGAGAUACUGGAAUUAUUUUCUGGCACUUGAUUUCCAGGUGCAAGUCAUGUAGCCUUUGCAUUCAGAACCCUUUUGGCUUCUUGGCGGACAAGUUGUUCCAAAGGCAGAACAUUUAGACCAAUACCUUUUGUGUCUAUCUCGUUCAUAAGCUCAGAAGGUGCAAUUAAGGUUGAAAGGUUUUGAUACUAGAUGCUCACCGGAGUUAAAUCACAAGGUUUGAUAACAUAUCCUGAGGUUGCUAUGGUAUGCCAUUCUCUAUAAUUUCUCACUCUUCCUCAUCAACUUUUUGCUUAGGGUUCAUCUGGAUCACUGAAAUCUGAAGUAAUUUCAAUUCUGAUGGAAUUGAAAUUGAGGGAUGAUAAUACUUCAAAAUUAGAACAUGGAACUGGAAUUGCCAGCAUGUUUUUAAUUUCAUUAAUUUUAUAUACGUUAUACAGUCUUUUUACUUAUAAAUAAAUGAAUGAACAUAUAAAUAUAUAAUUAAAUUGAUCUAAAAUUAAAUGAACUCUUUUCUUCUUGCCUCCUCUUCCUCUCUCUCCUUCUCUCUCUCUUUCUCACUUAUUUUUCUUCUUUCUUUUCUAUAUGCCUUUUUGUUCCUAU
rnacentral:misc_RNA from 1 species